rnacentral:rRNA from 1 species
AUUGAACGCUGGCGGCAUGCUUUACACAUGCAAGUCGAACGGCAGCGCGGGCUUCGGCCUGGCUGCGAGUGGCGAACGGGUGAGUAAUGCAUCGGAACGUGCCCAGUAGUGGGGGAUAGCCCGGCGAAAGCCGGAUUAAUACCGCAUACGACCUGAGGGUGAAAGCGGGGGACCGAAAGGCCUCGCGCUAUUGGAGCGGCCGAUGUCGGAUUAGCUAGUUGGUGGGGUAAAGGCUUACCAAGGCGACGAUCCGUAGCUGGUCUGAGAGGACGACCAGCCACACUGGGACUGAGCCACGGCCCAGACUCCUACGGGAGGCAGCAGUGGGGAAUUGUGGACAAUGGGGGCAACCCUGAUCCAGCCAUGCCGCGUGCGGGAAGAAGGCCUUCGGGUUGUAAACCGCUUUUGUUCGGGAAGAAAUCCUCUGGGCUAAUACCCCGGGGGGAUGACGGUACCGGAAGAAUAAGCACCGGCUAACUACGUG